rnacentral:rRNA from 1 species
AUGCAGUUCAUAUUGAAAUAUCAAAAGACCAAAACAUCUUACACUAUUUGUGAACAACAGAGGGAGUACCAGCAACCACCGAACUACCAAACAUGUACGAAGACAAGCCACCACGUUGUUAGCAAAAAGAAAAUUAAAAAAGGACAAGCUACCACCUCGCCGAAGGAGACUAUCCUUAUCUUCCCCCGGCCGGGGCCGGGAAAUCUACUAAUCUCUGUCCAAGAAUUUCGUGGGCCGCCUGCCACCCAGCUAGGGCAAAGCAGCGGCGAACGCACGGAGAAGGGAUGGGAGGUCGGGGAAGAGGGAAAGGGCGCUCACCGGGUGUAG